GCACAAACUUCCCGAGGCCUCACCCCAUCCCCCCAAUGCACAGAAACACUUUGCCAACCUCUGGACUAGACUGAGUAAAGCAAGCAGAAAGAUCCAAUUUUAAAAAGAGGUGAGGAAAAUGGGACAACUUGGCUAUGGAGAGAGCAAGAAGAAUGCAACUGAUGUGCACAAAGUUUGAAGACAAAGUUACUCAGUUUAGAUCAGGGGUCCACAACCCCCAGCCAUGGACCAGUACUGAUUUGUGGCCUGUUAGGAACUCAGUUGCAGUAGGAGGUGAAUGCCAGGUUUUUUCAUCUGAGGUUACCAUGAGACUUAUAAUACAAGUAAAAUCUUAUAUCUCAAUGCCAGCACUUUGGGAGACAGAGGUGGGCAGAUCACCUGACGUCAGGGGUUCGAGACCAGCCUGACCAACGUGGAGAAACCC
rnacentral:lncRNA from 1 species